rnacentral:rRNA from 1 species
GUAAGUAAGAUCCCUGAAAGAUGAUCAGGUAGAUAGGAUGGAAGUGGAAGUGCUGUGAGGCAUGGAGCGGACCAUUACUAAUCGAUCGAGGACUUAACCAAG